CAGUCGCCGCGGUAAUACGGAGGGCGCGAGCGUUACCCGGAUUUACUGGGCGUGAAGGGCGUGUAGGCGGCCUGGGGCGUCCCAUGUGAAAGGCCACGGCUCAACCGUGGAGGAGCGUGGGAUACGCUCAGGCUAGAGGGUGGGAGAGGGUGGUGGAAUUCCCGGAGUAGCGGUGAAAUGCGCAGAUACCGGGAGGAACGCCGAUGGCGAAGGCAGCCACCUGGUCCACUUCUGACGCUGAGGCGCGAAAGCGUGGGGAGCAAACCGGAUUAGAUACCCCUGUAGUCCCUGUCUCUUAUAC
rnacentral:rRNA from 1 species